AUGGUAUUCGAGAUGGAUACUAGUGUGCUAGCGCCAACUCCUUCUCCCUGGUACAGAAUUGAUAGUCUUGGAGAAAACUUGCUCUUCCUUGGACAAAACUAUCCGAUGAUGGUGAAAGGCGAUCCAACUCCUGUUGACACAACGUUAACAGUAUCAUUUAUGAGAAGCAACUGUGUCUAUACCUCGGACAUUUGGGUGGUUCCCUACCCUGGUACUGAUAUAGUAGGCCGCUUCAGCCUGGAUGAUCAGUCCUGUGUUGGUUUCCAGAUCGACAAUCGAUGGCCCGUCCCAGAGAAUCACUUGUGGUUCAAAGCAAGCGUUUCCAACGCCGAGGAAUGGUUGAGUUGA
rnacentral:rRNA from 1 species